UUUUUUUCCAUUUUUUUUAUUUGUUUAUUCAUAUCUUUUUUUUUGGUCCAAAUAUACGAAAUUGAUCACGUCGAGCUUGUUAUGAAGAUGGCGAUGCUUAUCACGAAGAACCGUGCCUAUCAUGAAGAUGGCAUAUGGUUCGAGAAAUGCCUAUCACGAAGAUGGCGAAUCAAAACCAUAUUCGUCUAUUUUUUAUCAUUUUUAUUAUUGUUUAUUUUUUUAUCACGUUUUGUUCAAGUACGCGGAGUUUAAUUGUGUCGAGCCUAUCACGAAGAUGGCCACUCGAUUAAUCCUUUCGACCAUGUCGAGUCUAUCACGAAGAUGGCCGCACGAUUUACAUAGUAAAAUAAACGGUGCACGAUCAACCGUUUUGACCAUAUCAAGCCUAUCGCAAAGAUGGCCGCACGGUUUACGUAGUAAAAUAUCCGGUGUUCGAUCAAUCAUUUUGACCAUGUUGAGCCUAUCGCGAAGAUGAUCGCACAAUUUAGAGAUUAGCAAUACAUACGCACGGAGGAAGUGACGAUUUGAUGUCAAAUUUAACCGAUUUAAAACCUAUCACGAAGAUCGUUGGGUUGAUCAAACCGAUAAAAAAUCACACUUACGCUAUUCGUAUGUAUGAAUUUCUCUUAUUGUCGUAAAAGUCGUAGUGAUCGUCGUUGCCGUCAAAUGCAAGAACCAAAGUCUCUUUUUUUUUCUUUUUUUUU
rnacentral:lncRNA from 1 species